CCGAGUUAUCCAACUCCCAACCCUGUGAAUUAUACCUUUAAUUGUUGCUUCGGCGGGACUUCGCGCCCGCCGGGGACCCAAACCUUCUGAAUUUUUUAAUAAGUAUCUUCUGAGUGGUUAAAAAAAUGAAUCA
rnacentral:misc_RNA from 1 species